CCUACGGGGCGCUGCAGUGGGGAAUAUUGGACAAUGGGCGAAAGCCUGAUCCAGCCAUGCCGCGUGUGUGAAGAAGGCCUUCGGGUUGUAAAGCACUUUCAGUGGGGAAGAAAGCCUUGGGGCUAAUACCCUCGAGGAAGGACAUCACCCACAGAAGAAGCACCGGCUAACUCCGUGCCAGCAGCCGCGGUAAUACGGAGGGUGCGAGCGUUAAUCGGAAUUACUGGGCGUAAAGCGCGCGUAGGCGGUCUGAUAAGCCGGUUGUGAAAGCCCCGGGCUCAACCUGGGAACGGCAUCCGGAACUGUCAGGCUAGAGUGCAGGAGAGGAAGGUAGAAUUCCCGGUGUAGCGGUGAAAUGCGUAGAGAUCGGGAGGAAUACCAGAGGCGAAGGCGGCCUUCUGGACUGACACUGACGCUGAGGUGCGAAAGCGUGGGUAGCAAACAGGAUUAGAUACCCCUGUAGUC
rnacentral:rRNA from 1 species